GAUGAACGCUGGCGGCGUGCCUAAUACAUGCAAGUCGAGCGAAGCGGGGACGGGGGAGUAACACGUGGAUAACCUCCUAUAAGACUGGGAUAACUUCGGGAAACCGGUGCUAAUACGGCUACUUAUAGAUGGAUCCGGGUUGCAUUAGCUAGUUGGUAAGGUAACGGCUUACCAAGGCAACGAUGCAUAGCCGACCUGAGAGGGUGAUCGGCCACACUGGAACUGAGACACGGUCCAGACUCCUACGGGAGGCAGCAGUAGGGAAUCUUCCGCAAUGGGCGAAAGCCUGACGGAGCCACGCCGCGUGUGUGAUGAAGGUCUUCGGAUCGUAAAACUCUGUUAUUAGGGAAGCGGUACCUAAUCAGAAAGCCACGGCUAACUACGUGCCAGCAGCCGCGGUAAUUC
rnacentral:rRNA from 1 species